CAGCAGCCGCGGUAAUACGAAGGGGGCUAGCGUUGCUCGGAAUUACUGGGCGUAAAGGGAGCGUAGGCGGAUCGUUUAGUCAGGGGUGAAAUCCCGGGGCUCAACCUCGGAACUGCCUUUGAUACUGGCGAUCUUGAGUAUGGGAGAGGUGUGUGGAACUCCGAGUGUAGAGGUGAAAUUCGUAGAUAUUCGGAAGAACACCAGUGGCGAAGGCGACACACUGGCCCAUUGCUGACGCUGAGGCUCGAAAGCGUGGGGAGCAAACAGGAUUAGAUACCCCCGUAGUCCCUGUCUCUUAUAC
rnacentral:rRNA from 1 species